rnacentral:rRNA from 1 species
UUUAUGGAGAGUUUGAUCCUGGCUCAGGAUGAACGCUGGCGGCGUGCCUAAUACAUGCAAGUCGAGCGAACAGAUAAGGAGCUUGCUCCUUUGACGUUAGCGGCGGACGGGUGAGUAACACGUGGGUAACCUACCUAUAAGACUGGGAUAACUUCGGGAAACCGGAGCUAAUACCGGAUAACAUUUGGAACCGCAUGGUUCUAAAGUGAAAGAUGGUUUUGCUAUCACUUAUAGAUGGACCCGCGCCGUAUUAGCUAGUUGGUAAGGUAACGGCUUACCAAGGCGACGAUACGUAGCCGACCUGAGAGGGUGAUCGGCCACACUGGAACUGAGACACGGUCCAGACUCCUACGGGAGGCAGCAGUAGGGAAUCUUCCGCAAUGGGCGAAAGCCUGACGGAGCAACGCCGCGUGAGUGAUGAAGGGUUUCGGCUCGUAAAACUCUGUUAUUAGGGAAGAACAAACGUGUAAGUAACUGUGCACGUCUUGACGGUACCUAAUCAGAAAGCCACGGCUAACUACGUGCCAGCAGCCGCGGUAAUACGUAGGUGGCAAGCGUUAUCCGGAAUUAUUGGGCGUAAAGCGCGCGUAGGCGGUUUCUUAAGUCUGAUGUGAAAGCCCACGGCUCAACCGUGGAGGGUCAUUGGAAACUGGGAAACUUGAGUGCAGAAGAGGAAAGUGGAAUUCCAUGUGUAGCGGUGAAAUGCGCAGAGAUAUGGAGGAACACCAGUGGCGAAGGCGACUUUCUGGUCUGUAACUGACG